rnacentral:rRNA from 1 species
GAUGAACGCUGGCGGCGUGCUUAACACAUGCAAGUCGAACGAUGAAGCCCAGCUUGCCGGGUGGAUUAGUGGCGAACGGGUGAGUAACACGUGAGUAACCUGCCCUUAACUCUGGGAUAAGCCUGGGAAACUGGGUCUAAUACCGGAUAGGAGCGUCCACCGCAUGGUGGGUGUUGGAAAGAUUUAUCGGUUUUGGAUGGACUCGCGGCCUAUCAGCUUGUUGGUGAGGUAAUGGCUCACCAAGGCGACGACGGGUAGCCGGCCUGAGAGGGUGACCGGCCACACUGGGACUGAGACACGGCCCAGACUCCUACGGGAGGCAGCAGUGGGGAAUAUUGCACAAUGGGCGCAAGCCUGAUGCAGCGACGCCGCGUGAGGGAUGACGGCCCUCGGGUUGUAAACCUCUUUCAGUAGGGAAGAAGCGAAAGUGACGGUACCUGCAGAAGAAGCACCGGCUAACUACGUG